rnacentral:lncRNA from 11 species
GCACUUGUGAGUCCGUAUUUCCCUUGUUCCUUUCUCUCUACAUUUCCACACAUAUAUACGCUCACACUUACCAACAGUCCAGCAGAACAGAGCUGAAAAUCCAAGGAGAAGAAUCUUAUUCAUCCUGAUUAAUUAUUGUGAAAGUCCAGUCUCCUAAAUGAAUAUUAAGAAAUCAAAAGAGCACUGGAGAAAAUGUCAAAAAGUGAUCUCUAUUUUAAGAGAUUAAGUUUCCCUAGCCUCUAAAAAUGGCCAAUGAGAAACAGGGUAAAGCUGUGCAAAUAUUUUCUUUUGGGAAUAAAUAUUGGCAGAUUAUCUAGCCAAAACCAGGUCUGGUUCAAGAAAUUUCACUGCCUGAGGCAGAGCAACACAAUUCCCAACCCUCAGCUGCACAACACAUGGAACUUGUCAUAUUAUUUUGGCACAGGAUCUAAAAGUGGUGUUCUCUCCUUUUCAGCAGUAAAAGGCUAUCUGGCAACACUGCCCCCAAACGCCCAGAGUGAGCUGCAGCCUGAGAUGCUGCAUCAAAACAUGAAGCAAGGUUUUGGAGAGAUGCAUGGCAAAGGGAAGAAAAGGAUGCUCUAUCUGGAGAAUGUGGGCAUCGAUCCCACUACCUCUCACAUGCUAAGCGAGCGCUCUACCAUUUGAGCUAAUUCCCAAUCUGCUUGGCUGCAGUCUUCAGCAAUAUCCUGAGAAAAGCGAUCCCAAAGGUUCAUGCAGGAAAUGACCUAAAAAUAUUUUUGCUCUAUUCAUUAUGAUGGUAAUGGGAGCCCCAUAUCUUUUUUGGUACUUCCCUCUAUUGCUUCUAUGACAAUUUUGCUCUUCCCAGU